rnacentral:rRNA from 1 species
AGAUUGAACGCUGGCGGCAUGCCUAACACAUGCAAGUCGAACGGGAGUAGCAAUACUCUAGUGGCGGACGGGUGAGGAAUACGUAGGAAUUUGCCCUUAAGUGGGGGAUAACCCGGGGAAACCCGGAUUAAUACCGCAUGACCUCGAAAGAGCAAAGUGGGGGAUCGCAAGACCUCACGCUUUUGGAGAAGCCUACGUCGGAUUAGCUAGUUGGUGAGGUAAUGGCUCACCAAGGCGACGAUCCGUAACUGGUCUGAGAGGAUGAUCAGUCACACCGGAACUGAGACACGGUCCGGACUCCGUACGGGAGGCAGCAGGUGGGGAAUAUUGGACAAGU